rnacentral:misc_RNA from 1 species
GAUGAAGAACGCAGCGAAAUGCGAUAAGUAAUGCGAAUUGCAGAAUCCGUGAGUCAUCGAAUCUUUGAACGCACAUUGCGCCCUCUGGUAUUCCGGGGGGCAUGCCUGUCCGAGCGUCCUUGCUGCCCUCAAGCACGGCUUGUGUGUUGGGCCUCCGUCCUCCUCCCGGGGGACGGGCCCGAAAGGCAGCGGCGGCACCGCGUCCGGUCCUCGAGCGUAUGGGGCUUCGUCACCCGCUCUUGUAGGCCCGGCCGGCGCUUGCCGACACAUCAAUCUUUUUUCCAGGUUGACCUCGGAUCAGGUAGGGAUACCCGCUGAACUUAAGCAUAUCAAUAAGCGGAGGA